UUAGGUCCCUGUUCAUGCGCCAGAUGUUGGGUUACAUUACGGGGGAAAGAAGAAACCAGGGACUCGUAGCUGAGCA
rnacentral:miRNA from 1 species